rnacentral:rRNA from 2 species
GGGGUGCUAUACAUGCAAGUCGAACGAACUCUGGUAUUGAUUGGUGCUUGCAUCAUGAUUUACAUUUGAGUGAGUGGCGAACUGGUGAGUAACACGUGGGAAACCUGCCCAGAAGCGGGGGAUAACACCUGGAAACAGAUGCUAAUACCGCAUAACAACUUGGACCGCAUGGUCCGAGUUUGAAAGAUGGCUUCGGCUAUCACUUUUGGAUGGUCCCGCGGCGUAUUAGCUAGAUGGUGGGGUAACGGCUCACCAUGGCAAUGAUACGUAGCCGACCUGAGAGGGUAAUCGGCCACAUUGGGACUGAGACACGGCCCAAACUCCUACGGGAGGCAGCAGUAGGGAAUCUUCCACAAUGGACGAAAGUCUGAUGGAGCAACGCCGCGUGAGUGAAGAAGGGUUUCGGCUCGUAAAACUCUGUUGUUAAAGAAGAACAUAUCUGAGAGUAACUGUUCAGGUAUUGACGGUAUUUAACCAGAAAGCCACGGCUAACUACGUGCCAGCAGCCGCGGUAAUACGUAGGUGGCAAGCGUUGUCCGGAUUUAUUGGGCGUAAAGCGAGCGCAGGCGGUUUUUUAAGUCUGAUGUGAAAGCCUUCGGCUCAACCGAAGAAGUGCAUCGGAAACUGGGAAACUUGAGUGCAGAAGAGGACAGUGGAACUCCAUGUGUAGCGGUGAAAUGCGUAGAUAUAUGGAAGAACACCAGUGGCGAAGGCGGCUGUCUGGUCUGUAACUGACGCUGAGGCUCGAAAGUAUGGGUAGCAAACAGGAUUAGAUACCCUGGUAGUCCAUACCGUAAACGAUGAAUGCUAAGUGUUGGAGGGUUUCCGCCCUUCAGUGCUGCAGCUAACGCAUUAAGCAUUCCGCCUGGGGAGUACGGCCGCAAGGCUGAAACUCAAAGGAAUUGACGGGGGCCCGCACAAGCGGUGGAGCAUGUGGUUUAAUUCGAAGCUACGCGAAGAACCUUACCAGGUCUUGACAUACUAUGCAAAUCUAAGAGAUUAGACGUUCCCUUCGGGGACAUGGAUACAGGUGUGCAUGGUUGUCGUCAGCUCGUGUCGUGAGAUGUUGGGUUAAGUCCCGCAACGAGCGCAACCCUUAUUAUCAGUUGCCAGCAUUAAGUUGGGCACUCUGGUGAGACUGCCGGUGACAAACCGGAGGAAGGUGGGGAUGACGUCAAAUCAUCAUGCCCCUUAUGACCUGGGCUACACACGUGCUACAAUGGAUGGUACAACGAGUUGCGAACUCGCGAGAGUAAGCUAAUCUCUUAAAGCCAUUCUCAGUUCGGAUUGUAGGCUGCAACUCGCCUACAUGAAGUCGGAAUCGCUAGUAAUCGCGGAUCAGCAUGCCGCGGUGAAUACGUUCCCGGGCCUUGUACACACCGCCCGUCACACCAUGAGAGUUUGUAACACCCAAAGUCGGUGGGGUAACCUUUUAGGAACCAGCCGCCUAAGGUGGGACAGAUGAUUAGGGUGAAGUCGUAACAAGUAAACCGUAAA